rnacentral:rRNA from 1 species
UGCAGUCGAACGCGAAAGUUCCCUUCGGGGAGCGAGUAGAGUGGCGCACGGCCUGNNUAACACGNUAGGUAAUUUGCCUUUGGGUGGGGAAUAACUCANGGAAACUUGAGCUAAUACCGCAUAAUGCAGCGGCUCGACAUCGAGACAGUUGUUAAAGCGGGGGAUUGGAGCAAUCCGACCUCGCGCCUAAAGAGAAGCCUGCGGCAGAUUAGCUAGUUGGUAAGGUAAUGGCUUACCAAGGCGACGAUCUGUAACCGGCCUGAGAGGGCGGUCGGUCACACUGACACUGACAUACGGGUCAGACUCCUACGGGAGGCAGCAGUCGGGAAUUUUGGGCAAUGGGCGAAAGCCUGACCCAGCAACGCCGCGUGAAGGAUGAAAUUUUUCGGAAUGUAAACUUCGCAAGAACAGGAAGAAUAAGUAGGGGACAAUACCCCCUAUGAUGACGGUACUGUUUGUAAGCUCCGGCUAACUCCGUGCCAGCAGCCGCGGUAAUACGGGGGGAGCAAGCGUUGUUCGGAUUUACUGGGCGUAAAGGGCGCGUAGGCGGCGUGACAAGUCACUUGUGGAAUCUCCGGGCUUAACUCGGAACGGUCAAGUGAUACUGUCGUGCUAGAGUACAGAAGGGGCAACUGGAAUUCUCGGUGUAGCGGUGAAAUGCGUAGAUAUCGAGAGGAACACCUGCGGCGAANGCGGGUUGCUGGGCUGAUACUGACGCUGANGCGCGAAGCCAGGGAGCGAACGGGAUUAGAUACCCCGGUANUCCUGGCCUUAANCGAUGAAUGCUUGGUGUCUCGGGUUAUAAAGUCCCCGGGGUGCC